GUCUACGGCCAUACCACCCCGAACGCUCCCGAUCUCAUCUGAUCUCAGAAGCUAAGCAGGGUCGGGCCUGGUUAGUACUUGGAUGGGAGGAGGAGACAGAGAAAUAUAUCACAUGUUGAAAACU
ensembl:rRNA 5S_rRNA 5S ribosomal RNA